GGCAAGGUGGCCGAGUGGUUAUGGCGCUAGUUUUAGGUCUAGACUUUCACUAGUGGGAAACUUCGCGGGUUCGAAUCCCGUCCUUGUCA
rfam:Aspergillus zonatus CBS 506.65 unplaced genomic scaffold ASPZOscaffold_1, whole genome shotgun sequence.